UAUAUAUAUAUAUAUAUAUAUAUAUAUAUAUAUAUAUGUGUGUGUGUGUGUGUGUGUGUGUGUGUGAAAAUACUUGUUUCAAGGCAAGCACUAUGGCUUUUUUUGAAAAGAGAUCAAGUGAUCUGUCAGUUUGUUACACAAUCUUUGGAUUUAUCAUCUCCCAAGUGCCUACUUCCCCAUUUGUUUUAAAGUAAAUUGCUUUUCCCAGAGGUUGUAUUGAUCACCCCAAACAAAUACAUACAUACAUAUACACACAGAUAAGUUGUGCCUUUCCAUUUUUCACAGGUUUUCUGAUUUCUGUAUACGGUAAUACAAAUGUAAAGGAUAAAGUUGAUGGAAAUUGUUUAAUUAUUGGUGUGCCAUUUUCUGCCUUAUAUAUUUACCUAUUUUGAAGGGCAGAUAAAAAAAAAUAUUAUCACUGUCUAUAACAAGUUUCAUUGAACCUACUUUAGAUAUUGCCACCAUAAUUAUCAUGACUCACAAUCCCAACAAUAGCUAGUAUGAAUUCAUACUAUCUGGAAAAUUUAUCUUUCUGAUAAUAAGAUUUCAACCAUCAGCCUUCUUUUUUCUUUUAACCCCUAAAAUUAAAAUUAAAAGUUAUUCCAAAAGCUAUCAAUUUAACGACAGAUUCCAUUAGUCAAUGAUGAUAAUGAAAGCCAGGUUAAUACAUUUCUUGAUUAAGAAUGAGUUUUCUCAUGGUGUUUACCUACAUUCUUACCUAGAUGGGGCUUAACCCAUCUAGAAACAAGCAAUGCCUCCAACCAUGAAUGCAGAAAGAUGUUCUUGAAUUAAGGCUUGAAGUUGGGUAAUGUUGGCAUCACCAAAAUGGCUUGGGUAAUGAGCUGGUAAGACUCAUAAUGUACUUUAUGGAAAAUUGAUUCAAUAAGGCAGUCGGCAGAUUACCAAGAGCACAGAUGAAGAGGCUACAAAACUAAUCAAAAUCAUACAGCCUUGGACCAAGAGCAGGGCAAAGAAGACAUUUGAAGGCCUCUACUGAAUGAGCUGAGACAUCAUUUUCAGGUAGAGAAUUCCAGAUGUCAAUGACUCUAACUGAAAAGAAACGAGCCCUAAUGUCAGUGUUACACCGUGGAAUAAACAGCUUAAGAGAAUGACAUCUUAUACCCCUAUUCAAAUUUCUUACAAACAAAUGACUGAGAUGAGGGCAAUAACCAUUCAGAAUCUUAAACACCAGAAUAAGGUCAGCCCUAAUCAACCUGCCUUUAAUGGAAUACAAAUUUAGCCGAGCAAGACGUUCACUAUAAGACAAUUCUUGGUAUCCCUCAAUUUUCUUGGUCUACCGUCUCUGGACACCUUCCAGCAAUUUGAGAUCUCCAGGGUAACCAGUGAACCAAACCAAAGAAGCGAAAUCGAUGACAGGGUGAAUGUGAGAAAUAAAGACUGUUUUUCAUAAAAUUAGGAGAUCUGCAGACUGUUCCCUUCAAGAUAGAGAACCCAACGCCGCUAGCCUUCCUAGCAAUUUUUCUAACAUGGAGGUGGAACUUAGUGAGGCAUCCACACAAACUCCAAGGUCCUUGUGAUUCUCAACAUUCUUAAUUGGUUGAUCAUCAAUAAAGUACAGCAGAAGAACAGGUGCAUCUCUGAAAUUCCUACAAAAAAUUAAUUCAAACACAUUUAUGAACAGAGAAUGCAAGACCCCAGGAGCUACUUGUUCUAUGGAGUAGGUUGAUAUCACUUUGCAGACUGAUGUGAGAAUGAAGGUGGUCCGACAACGAGAGGGAAGAUGCUAAAUAAAGUUUUAGAUCAUCAAACGGACAGAAUUUGCAACUUAGUUGAGAGACUACAUGAUUGAUAAAAACCAAGAACAGUAAAGGUCCAAGCACAGACCCCUGGGGAACGCCACUAGUGACAUUCAAUUGGCGACUUGAACUGCCAUGUACAACUACAUUCAGUUUCCUAUCCAACAAGUAGUCCCUCAACCAUCCUAAAAGGCAACCUUCAACACCAAUAUUAGCCAACAUUUCAAGUAAUAGUGCAUGAUUCACUACAUCAAAAUCCUUGCAAAAAUAAAAAAAAUAUUACAUCUACUGACAAACCACUAUCAUAGUGCUGGGUAACAUAAUCAUAGGUGUAUAGCAGUUGGUCUGAAACUGAGUGGGCAGAACGGAAACCAUAUUGGUGAGGGGAAAGCAGAUGACUGUUUUCUAGAUAUGCUGAGAGUUGAGAAUCAAGUAUGUUUUGGGGUUCAUUUUGUGUGUUUUCAGUGUGUUAGCUCUUUUAGGUAUAUUUUACGUAUUUUGAAAGUGGAUUGAGGUGUGUGUGAGUAUUAGCAUGUUUUGAGUGUGGUUUAGGAGAACUUUGAGGAUUGGUUGGUGUUCUGAGUGAGGUUUGGGUUUAUUUUGAGUGUUAUAAGUGGUGGGGGGGUGUGUUAAUGGUCUUUUGGGUGUGUGUGGGUUAUUUCAGUAAGUAUUCGGUGUUUCUAGUGAGUUUUGCGUGUUUGGAUGUAUUUUAACCUGUUCUGUUUUUUUUUUUUUAGUGCGUUUUGGGAUGUUAUUAAAUUUCUUAAGCGGGUUUAGGUAUGUGUGGUUUGUCGUGGGUGUGUGUAAGAGUGAAUUGGGCCUAUACAAGGAUUUUUCAGUAUGUUUUGAGGCCCUCAACAGGCUAGCUCAGUGUCAGUGGGCCCUUAUAGCAAGUGUCCUUCAUCAUUGAUUACCCGCUUCGUUCCCAGGUGACGACAGGUUGAAUGAGGUGGACAUGGCGGAGGCUGUGGGUGGUCAAUUCACGGCGCAGAUUACCUACACCUUGCACCACGCUGACUGCCCGCAGCUGUUCAUUAAAGUCGGGCAAGCCUGUAUCUCCGUGUUCUGCCCUGGAUAUAGGAGUAAAGAUGAGUUUGUGCAGCUGUGUGGCAUUGAGGAAUGCCGGGAGAAGAAUGUCGGAUGUGUGUGAGCCUCUUUAAAUCAACACUCGAGAGUCAUACUACUGCCAGUGCCGGCCAUGCAGGGUACAGACUCGUGUCAGAAAGUUCAAGUGUGAAGGUGAAGCCUCCCUGAACUGUCAAUGUCACUCUAUGGUCUGUCUUCUUAAACUUGUCAGUCCUUCACCUCUUCAUUUAGAAGCAGCCUAAAGAAACUUUGACGAGUGCGUGUCGCCCAGAUCCUCUCCCUAUGGACCAUCCCCUCAGCAGUGUUCGAUCCGCCCAGCAGCAGCAACGGUCAUGAGAAGGCGGUCAUUGAAGUCCCCAAGCUGGCAUGGUGGUGGGUGUUGUGCUGGGCUCCCUUGGGGUUCUUUGCCUAGCUGUUGGGGUAAGUUAAAUAGUUUUUCACUUCUUUAUAAUGUGGGGUCUUGCUCUGAAUGUGUUGUGGCUGUGCUGUGGCAAAGAUGGCAUAAUUAAGCAGUGGGUGAGAUUCUUCCUAACUUUAAACAAUUCUAAAUUGUUCUUGACACACUGAGAAUAUUCCAUUACUGUAAAGUUAACCGAUUCAUACUUUAUACUUUUUUUUUUUUUUCAUCUCACCUGCAACAUUUUCAGUGUACAGAUGUUUGUCGGGUUCCUGAAGAUGCGUCGACGUGUUAUCAUCCACGCAAGCUUCCCCAACCCAGCCAGUGUACCACAAGACAACAGGCAUUGUGGAGGAUGGGAGGAGGGAGCGAGCGGCUGCAUGCACUAAUGAACGGGACGGCAUUACAUUCUUCCCACAGUUGUAUGACUACACUGAAGCAAGUCCAGAAUAAAGUGUUGAGUGACCAUGAUGAAUCAGUACUACUAACGCCAAAGAAGUGAGGGAACUGUUUGGAGUGAGCGUGCAAUACGUACAACAGACACCAGACUGCUACUGCCGGUGUAGCCAAAGGAACAAGAGGAGGCGGAGGAAGAAGAGGAGGAACAAGAGGGUGAUUCUUGGAGAUGUACCAAUGAAGUUCUGAAGGAUCUCUGCCAGACACCGCAGCUCACCAGUCACCUCCACCACAAGUGUGGACCCCGCUACAGAGACCACCACCACUCAUAAGCUUGAUCUAACAGGUUGGGGGGGGGGUGAGACAAGAACGAAGCAACGUCAGCAGUAGCUGGAACAGUAUUAAUCCAGACACCACGCUCGCUACAUCUCUCCAGCCACCACGCCACCACCGACCCCUCGAGUGUACGCAGCCCAGUGUCCGUCUGUGUCUUGUCGUGGGCGUGACGUUCAGCAGCGGCAGGAACAGCAACGGGAAGCUUGAUCUGCGUGGGUUUUCGUGCGGCGGGGUGACGUGCCGCUGCUGUGAGAUUAUCGGACCACACACACACAGCACAGCACAGAGGAGGAGAGGCGUUGACGAUCCAAAGGCCUGACUCCACAGCGGUAAUGAGCCUCGUCUACCUUGCACUUAACGGACAAUGCUCACUACCAACACCUCUGCCUCCGCCACCGCCACUGCCGCCGUUGAGGGAGACUGGCUGGAUGAGUGGGUGAUAGAGGCGAGGCAGGUGUGGUGAGGCGGAGGAUUGGAGACGAGAACCUACAGAUGACGGCAGACACGGAAGAUUCCACUUACCAGGAGUUGGUGAUCCGAAGCCGUGACUGCAGCGAUCCCGUGCGGCCUGCACCAUCAGGGAAGGACUCUCUCUGGCUUCGCACUGCGCCUACAUUGACCGUUGCCGCCGCUGCUACCGCUACUCGGAGGGGCACUGCCUCGCAUUGGGCCUUCACUGCCGUCCCGCUAAUACACGUGUCGCCGUCGCAGCUACUGGCACUGAGGGACUUCGCCUCGCAGCGGCCUGGCAAACACCUGCUACACCACCACCACUAACUCCACCACCGCAGUCCAGAGAUUCAGCUUCGCAUAGCAGACAUCCUCCUAUUCAACGCUUGCUGCCACUACCACCUCAUUAUGGUGGUGUCACUGUACUUGGAUCUGUUGUCUCUACUGAAUAAUAAUGUGUAAAGAAAUCUUUUUGUUUCGGUAAAUUUCCUUUCCUGGGAAUA